CCCCGCCCUCAAGAGGAAGGCAUUAUUAUGAACUCAUGGAUUUUAAAUUUGGGGUCAUGGAGGGUUUCCAGCAGUUGUAGUCUUGUCUUUUUUUUUCUGCUUUUCCUCCCCAAAUGCCCCCAGUACAUAGUGGUAUAUUUCAGUUGUGGGUCCUUCUAGUUGUGGCAUGUGGGACACCACCUCAGCAUGGCCUAACGAGCAGUGCCAUGUCUGCACCCAGGAUCUGAACCAGUGAAACCCUGGGCUGCCGAAGCAGAGCGUUCGAACUUAACCACUCGGCCAUGAGGCCAGCCCCUGUAGUCUUUUCUUUUUUGAUGCUCAAAUUUUCCCAUCAGGUCGACUCCUGAAUCCUAAUGCUCAGUAGUCUUUGCUAGUUUCUUUACUUCCUGAUAUAACAAGAUGUUUUCAGCUCAUCUUUUACAUUUUCUGUCCCAGAUGUGGAAUUAGCCAAUCCUCCAAGGAGCCUGUGGGGAUGGUUUUUAGACCACAAUCUGAGCACUUGGGAUGCUCAUUGCUAGUGGGUUGGAGAUUGUUUCUACAAAGUAGAUAUUUUCGUUUUUUCCACAGAAAACACAUUAUGAGUUUAUACUGAUAAUUUUCAUUUAAAUUGGGGAUCACAUAUUUUUACCUAACUUCAUUGACUUUAUUCUAAAUUCUUUUCUUUGAUGUUGAAAAACCCCGAUUUUCUAAUGAUAGCAUUUGCUCUAGCCUACCACGUGUACACCAUUUUCAAAAUAACGAUAUUACUAUUAUCACUAACAACGUGAUUACUGAAAACACUUUAAGAUUGCUUUGCAGUUCUUCUUGUCCUUAGGGUAACGAAUUCAGGAUGUGCACUCAGACGAUUAUGUUUUAGUCCUUUGAAAUAGCUCCUCUCUGGGUGAUUAAGUCACCAACUUCAUACUCACUUGGGUUUAUUUGUGCAGUUUUAAUUUCCAUUUCUCUUAUUAUGAGUGGGGUUGAGCAUCUUUUCACAUAUGUAAAGGACAUUUGAAUUUCUUUCUUUGUAGAUUCUUUCUCUAGAGAGUUAUUGGCCUUUUUGUUCUCUACUUUAGAAACUAUAUAUUAGAGAUACUUGCCCUUUGUCUGUACUACAAGUUGAAAGUGAUUUUUCCCAGUUUGUCAUUUGUCUUUUUGCUUUGUUCAUGAUAUCUUUUGCCAUGUUGAAGAUUUUUUAUGUUUAUAUUUGCCACAUUUUUUAUUGGAUGUUUUCAAAUUUAUAUUAAAUAAGAAUUUGUAUAUUUUAGAUGUUAG
rnacentral:lncRNA from 1 species